rnacentral:rRNA from 1 species
UGACCUGCGGAGGGAUCAUUACCGAGUUUACAACUCCCAAACCCAAUGUGAACGUUACCAAACUGUUGCCUCGGCGGGAUCUCUGCCCCGGGUGCGUCGCAGCCCCGGACCAAGGCGCCCGCCGGAGGACCAACCAAAACUCUUAUUGUAUACCCCCUCGCGGGUUUUUUUAUAAUCUGAGCCUUCUCGGCGCCUCUCGUAGGCGUUUCGAAAAUGAAUCAAAACUUUCAACAACGGAUCUCUUGGUUCUGGCAUCGAUGAAGAACGCAGCGAAAUGCGAUAAGUAAUGUGAAUUGCAGAAUUCAGUGAAUCAUCGAAUCUUUGAACGCACAUUGCGCCCGCCAGUAUUCUGGCGGGCAUGCCUGUCCGAGCGUCAUUUCAACCCUCGAACCCCUCCGGGGGGUCGGCGUUGGGGAUCGGCCCUGCCUUGGCGGUGGCCGUCUCCGAAAUACAGUGGCGGUCUCGCCGCAGCCUCUCCUGCGCAGUAGUUUGCACACUCGCAUCGGGAGCGCGGCGCGUCCACAGCCGUUAAACACCCAACUUCUGAAAUGUUGACCUCGGAUCAGGUAGGAAUACCCGCUGAACUUAAGCAUAUCAAAAAGCGGGAGGAA